UACCAGCACCCCGAGUGGUCGGGACGAUUAUUGGGCCUAAAGCAUCCGUAGCCGGUCCUGCAGGUCUUCCGUUAAAUCCAGCUGCUCAACAGAUGGGCUGCGGGGGAUACUACAGGGCUAGGAGGCGGGAGAGGCAAGCGGUACUUUAUGGGUAGGGGUAAAAUCCGUUGAUCCAUAGAAGACCACCAGUGGCGAAGGCGGCUUGCCAGAACGCGCUCGACGGUGAGGGAUGAAAGCUGGGGGAGCAAACCGG
rnacentral:rRNA from 1 species